UACGUAGGUGGCAAGCGUUAUCCGGAAUUAUUGGGCGUAAAGCGUGCGCAGGCGGUUUUGUAAGUCUGUCGUGAAAUCCCCGGGCUUAACCUGGGAAUGGCGAUGGAGACUGCAAGGCUAGAGUUUGGCAGAGGGGGGUAGAAUUCCACGUGUAGCAGUGAAAUGCGUAGAGAUGUGGAGGAACACCGAUGGCGAAGGCAGCCCCCUGGGUCAAAACUGACGCUCAUGCACGAAAGCGUGGGGAGCAAACAGG
rnacentral:rRNA from 1 species